UUAUUCACACGGAAUUCCCCUGUUGGGAAAACAAAGGCUUCAACGUUCAGUAAAUCAGCCAGUCGCUCGGCGGAGAAGGCAAGUGGACGGAUGCACGUGCAGUCGGCACCCGUGUUGGAGCCUGCAGUAAUUAAAGACAUCCAUCAGAUUAUGACAGCGGUGUCUGGAAGCAUUACACUGUGGGACCCAUAAUGUGACCAGGGUAACCAUGACGACUGCAAUCAAACACAGAGAUGAUGUCCCAUGUGAAGAUUCCUCUGAUUUCCUGGUGCGUUAUGAUUCACUUACAAACUAUGUGUGCGCUGUACUGAGACACAGAACGUCAAAGGUGUUCAAAUCGUUACAUUGCCUUCACUUUGAUUGUCGUUUAUCGUCCGAGUGCUGCCGAUGCUAACUUUCCCUCUGUUUCACCUGUUACUUUCCAUUGUUUUGUAUUCUGCUGUAAUGUUGAGGAUUCAUAUCAAACAUUGGAACAAGUGCAUAAAGCAUUGCAAAUCAUUACUGUUUGUUAUGGCCACCAUUGAGUUCUAGAUGGGUGAGGUUUGCAAUGUUCUGACAGGAAUGUAGUCACGUGUUUCUAACUGAAGGACAUUGUGUAUGCUGUACUCUGCAUCUUCUAUCUAGAGACACUGUGACUGACACCUACUGCACGUGGGAUAGUAAUAAAACACUGGAAUGUA